rnacentral:rRNA from 1 species
GAUAAACGCUGGCGGCGUGCUUAACACAUGCAAGUCGAACGAAGUUUUUCCUUCGGGAGAAACUUAGUGGCGGACGGGUGCGUAACGCGUGGGUAACCUGCCCUGUACAGGGGGACAACAGCUGGAAACGGCUGCUAAUACCGCAUAAGCCCUUAGCACUGCAUGGUGCAUAGGGAAAAGGAGCAAUCCGGUACAGGAUGGACCCGCGUCUGAUUAGCCAGUUGGCAGGGUAACGGCCUACCAAAGCGACGAUCAGUAGCCGAUCUGAGAGGAUGUACGGCCACAUUGGGACUGAGACACGGCCCAGACUCCCACGGGAGGCAGCAGUGGGGAAUAUUGCACAAUGGAGGAAACUCUGAUGCAGCGACGCCGCGUGAGUGAAGAAGUAUUUCGGUAUGUAAAGCUCUAUCAGCAGGGAAGAAAAUGACGGUACCUGACUAAGAAGCACCGGCUAAAUACGUG